CCUACGGGGGACAGCAGUAGGGAAUUUUCGACAAUGAGGGGAACCCUGACCGAGCAACGCCGCGUGAAGGAAGAAGGACUUCGUUCUGUAAACUUCUGUUAUAAAGGAAGAAAGACGGAUGGAGGAAAUGACAUCCGAGUGACGGUACUUUAUGAGAAAGCCACGGCUAACUACGUGCCAACAGCCGCGGUAAUACGUAGGUCGCAAGCGUUAUCCGGAAUUAUUGGGCGUAAAGCGGGAGUAGGCGGCAGCAAAGGUCUGUGGUGAAAUACUGAAGCUUAACUUCAGUAAGCCAUAGAAACCGGGCAGCUAGAGUGCAGGAGAGGAUCGUGGAAUUCCAUGUGUAGCGGUGAAAUGCGUAGAUAUAUGGAGGAACACCAGUGGCGAAGGCGACGAUCUGGCCUGCAACUGACGCUCAGGGCCGAAAGCGUGGGGAGCAAACAGGAUUAGAUACCCGAGUAGUC
rnacentral:rRNA from 1 species